GAGUUUGAUCAUGGCUCAGGAUGAACGCUGGCGGCGUGCCUAAUACAUGCAAGUCGAGCGAACGGACGAGAAGCUUGCUUCUCUGAUGUUAGCGGCGGACGGGCGAGUAACACGUGGAUAACCUACCUAUAAGACUGGGAUAACUUCGGGAAACCGGAGCUAAUACCGGAUAAUAUUUUGAACCGCAUGGUUCAAAAGUGAAAGACGGUCUUGCUGUCACUUGUAGAUGGAUCCGCGCUGCAUUAGCUAGUUGGUAAGGUAACGGCUUACCAAGGCAACGAUGCAUAGCCGACCUGAGAGGGUGAUCGGCCACACUGGAACUGAGACACGGUCCAGACUCCUACGGGAGGCAGCAGUAGGGAAUCUUCCGCAAUGGGCGAAAGCCUGACGGAGCAACGCCGCGUGAGUGAUGAAGGUCUUCGGAUCGUAAAACUCUGUUAUUAGGAGAACAUAUGUGUAAGUAACUGUGCACAUCUUGACGGUACCUAAUCAGAAAGCCACGGCUAACUACG
rnacentral:rRNA from 1 species